rnacentral:rRNA from 1 species
AGCGAACGCUGGCGGCAGGCCUAACACAUGCAAGUCGAACGAACCUUUCGGGGUUAGUGGCGGACGGGUGAGUAACACGUGGGAACGUGCCUUUAGGUUCGGAAUAACUCAGGGAAACUUGUGCUAAUACCGAAUGUGCCCUUCGGGGGAAAGAUUUAUCGCCUUUAGAGCGGCCCGCGUCUGAUUAGCUAGUUGGUUGAGGUAAUGGCUCACCAAGGCGACGAUCAGUAGCUGGUCUGAGAGGAUGAUCAGCCACAUUGGGACUGAGACACGGCCCAAACUCCUACGGUAGGCAGCAGUGGGGAAUCUUGCGCAAUGGGCGAAAGCCUGACGCAGCCAUGCCGCGUGAAUGAUGAAGGUCUUAGGAUUGUAAAAUUCUUUCACCGGGGACGAUAAUGACGGUACCCGGAGAAGAAGCCCCGGCUAACUUCGU